rnacentral:lncRNA from 1 species
UUGUAUGUUGUUUUCAACAAAAGCCCUCAGAAGGUAUUUAGCAUGUAAAACAGAAAAAUCUAUUUUUCUGCUAAAUGAAUGAAAAAAAUGAUUACUCCCAUGUAUUGUUCCUCUAUUAAAAGUAGUUCCUAUUAGUUAACACUUUUGUUAAUUUGAGUAUGCUUCUGCAAAGACUCUAUACCUCACUGUCAUGUAGAAAAAUUAGAAACAAAGUGAACAGAAGGUAAUUACUAAUUGAAUUCACCAUUUUCAGCGAAGUGAUAAUCUUUAAGGCAACACAUGUCCUUUAUAUAUAUGCAUAUUUAUUCAAGGGAGUUUUCCAUAAUUAAGUGAUUUUUCAAACUGGAAAAGAAAUAAGCAAAAGAUAUUUGAAAUUGUCAUUCACUACAUCACCUCUAAGGAGUUCAGUAGGGAUCACAGUGAUUCAUUCUACAAUAAUAAUUAAAUGAAUGAAUCUCUGUUGUCAGUGACAUAUGAGGUCAUCGCCAAUGAGACAGAGAAUGCUUGGUGGGAAGUUAUUAUGGACAAGUACUUGGGAAGUGUUGAGUUUGUGCCCAGAUCAGCAACUCUUUGUAAUUGUCACAUAGAAAAUACUGUUUUCUCCAAAUGUCUAUUUCUUUUAACUGUUGUAUUUAUAUAUUCAUCCAUUUAACUAAUAUUUAUUAAGGACUUAGUAAAGAAUUUGACACUGUAUAUGUACAAUGCAAAUCAAGAACAAAAAGGGAGAUAAUUUAAUAAAACAACCUUUCCUCUUAAAAAAUUUGCAUUUAGUUAUAAAUCUCUUGGAAGAAGUCACUGAGGGGAUUUGACAGCUAGUUGACCCAUGAGCUAGACUGAGGCAAUCAGAAGCUUCUUAUCCCUUCCCAUGUUCUUGGAAUGUUCAUUAUGCCCUCCAUUCCUAUACUGGGAGCCACUUCAAGGAUGCAGCUUUGAGAGAGUAAUGUGUUACUGAGACCAUCUGGACUGUAUAAAUGACUAAUUCUCAUUCAGGCCUCUAUGUAAAUUCUUAAUAUUCUGGCAGAUAGGUGAAGAGAUCUACUCAUCUUGCAGUCACCCAAAACAAGCUUUCUAUGUGAAUUCUCUGCUUAUUAAACCUGCCACCCACCAAUCUGGAGUGAUCAGCUUCUUCCUUUGUCUCUCUUUGCCCUCCCUUUACAGAGGCAGAUUUUGAAUUUCAUCUGGAGUACUCCAGGUUUCAAACAACAAUUGGUGAGCCAGCCAGGAGACUGAAGUAAAGGUUCUUGGGAAAGAGGCAUCUUUGGAGGGAAGUCUCAGGUUGACCAUCCACUUUUUUGUGAGAAGUGGCCCAUAUGUCAUAUGCUUGUGAAUCUGCCUGACAACAGGAGGUUGAAUACAUUUGCUUGAGAAAUUGCACAUAGCUUGCUCCAGCAAAAAUGGAAAACAAUUGGUUGCCGCAGAGGGCUGACCUCUACCGGCAGUUUAGCUGGCCACUGAUGCCCAACUAAAGACUGAAGUUAAAGUAAGAAAUUUAGAAGAAGAGCUGACAUUAGAGAAGGACAUUAGGGAAUUCACUACUCUGUUAGUAGACAAGGUGCAAGAGCAGAAUAGUAAGUUAGAAACCUUAGCGUGCCUUUUUGCCAAGCAAGGAGGGAGCACACUGCUAUGGAUUAAGAUCUGAGCACUUGUGACAAAGCCUGAUUGGAACACUAAGAGGUGGAAUCACUGGGAAAGUGAAGAGAAAGAAGAGGAGGAUGCUGUGAUUGACAGUGAAACAGAUGAAACAACCUCUACCAUCCUAUCCCCAAUACAAAGGAAAGCCAAAGCAUGGCAACAAUGAGGCUAGCCAGCAGAGCAUUCCCUGAUUCAAGAGAUGUUCAUAAUUGAUAUAGCUGCCACUGAGCUUAUUGAUAUAGCUGCCAGCUUCCAACAACAGGCCAGGUAAAGUAUCCAGGCAUGGUUCAUUCAGCUUUGGAAUAUGGGAAACAAUGGUAUUUCUCUGACUGGACAGGAGGCAGGGGAAAUGAGCACCAUCACCACACACCCUGCCCUCAGUACCUGCAUGGUGCUUGGGUGGCUCAAGAGACUCACUCUCUUGUUGACUGGAUUAAUCUAUCCUAUAGAGAGGUGGGGCUCAAUGAGGGGAAUCUUCCUGGGCAUAAGGGACCCCGGAAAUCUGUAGAGGAGGUACAACAGAUUAUUAGGAAGAUGGGAAUGAGAACAGCCAUCUACACCCAUUUUUAAUACCCUGAUCAAGCCACAGUCACUUGCAGGAAUGAAAGCCAAGAUACUCCAGUCUACCCCCACUUCCUAAUGUGGGACACUGAUACCCAUGCUGAGCCUAGUCAUGAGACAAAUCAUAAUGUGCCCCUAGGAUUUUGGACCCAAACCUGGAAGGGGAUACAAACCUGAUAUACUCCCAUAGAAAAACAGCUCCUAGCACACUACACAGAGUUCCUCCAGGCAGAGCCUCUCAUAAGGGAAGAACAUGUCACUAUAAGAACUUUCCCUUCUAUUGAUGAUGAAUUGAGAAAAUGUUCUGUGGGCCCACCUCUGCUCACACUCCCACUUGGACUAAGUGGCAGCCUCUUUGCAGCAGAGUAGUCCGCUGUCCACUAGCCCACUGUCUCCAGAAAUGCAGGUGCUACUAAGCCCUGCAAAAUAUGUACAUCUUCCAAAUACUCCCUAUAGAGAGGGAGUAAGGAAAAUUCCCUUAUGCAUAAUAUACACAUGGGCAUAGUUUGGGCAACCUGCCCACAUAGACUGAAGUUGCUAUUCAGGCCAACGGUGACACCACUUGGAUGGAAACAGGAAGGGACCUCAAUAGCCAGUGGACUGAACUCAGAGCAGUUUGACUAGUGAUUGCUCAUGGCUAUCAACCCUUUGCACUGACAGUUGAGCUGUUCUAAAGGGAUUAAUUCUAUGGCUUAGAUAAGGGGUUGGAUUAUAGGGCUCUUGGUAGAAAAUUUGUUACUUAUUUUAGGAAUCAUUAUCUCAAUCUGUGUUUUCUCUUGCACGUGCCUACAUUGUUAGUUUGGUGUUUACCUGCAGUAAAGCCAGAGAGCUGCAAAACAAGCUACCUCCAUGCUAAUAAAACCACUCAAGAUGCAUACAGAAGAGGCCAUGUUUGUAAGAGCCAGUCACAAGAGGUGAAGUGUUGGAAAAGAUCAUUGAGAGGAUGUGGCUAACAGUUGGCCCAAGAAUAGGACCCAGGUCAUUACAACUCCUUCCUCCACACCCCCUGCUCUUGUAAUAUACAUUCUUCCCACCAUUCUGUACUGGUAAUGGCUUCAAGGACACAGCCUUGAGAAAGUAAUCUAUUAUUGACCAUCCGGAAUGUAUACAUGACUAAACUCUUUAAUGACCUACAUAAACUCUUUAGACUCUGGCAGUGUGCCACAAUCUCCUUUUCUUACAGCCACCCAAGGCAAGUGUCCUAUGUAGCUUCCCCUGGUUAUUGAACCUGUCACCUCCCAAUCUGGAGGCCUCUGCCUCUCUCUUUGAUCUUACCUUGCCCUCUGUUUCUGGAGGCCAGUUUUGAAUUUCACCCGGGGGAUUCCAGAGGUAGUGAACCAACAACUGCCUGGUAUUAUAAUUUUUAAGUUUGUUUUUACUUUGAUAUACAAAGUUAUUUUUUUUAUGCAUGAGAUAUUCUCGAGAUAGGUUCCUAGAUCUUCCUACUUGUCAGACUAAUGUCAAUGAUUUCAUUUCCCUGGGACAUAUUUUUGACUUUUUUGUUUUUCCUCUAGAAUUACUUGGCUGUCCUGAGCUCCCUCAGUAGCUUUCCUGGGAAAGACAGAGUAAACCAUCCAAGACAAGGUCCGUGAGAGCAGCUGAGCAUGUGCUUUAAUCUGGAGCUGUGGAGGAUUUUUCCAUCCUUCUCUCCUUAAUCUGAUGAAAAAGGUACAGACUCCUCUCUAAUUAGUUUAUUUGUUUGUGUUCUCCAGGGCUUUCCAUAUCAGCUGCUGCUUGCUUUGGCAACAAACUAUACAACUUUGAUGUCCUACAUAUUAAAACUUCUUUCUUUCUUUUCUUUAUAUUUCAAAAUCACAAUUAUGAAUUAACCAUUUUAUUAAUUGUGCCAUGAUAGAAAACAAGCCUUAGAAACAUCCUUAUUUACAUAAUUUCAAAUAUGAUUAUGAUUAACAUAGUAAAUGUCGUUUAUAUCGUCAUAUCUUGAAGACUUGUUUUUAAAUAGUUAUCAGUAUUCCAGUACUCCAGUAGUCAAUAUUUUUCAAUAUUCCAAUAUUUCCAGUAUUUUACAAUGAUGUGGGGGCAUCUAUUUAAUUUUUUUCCUAUGUAGUCUGAUUAGCAUAAAGGCGACAGAAAAUUUAUUUCAGAGAUGGUUCUUUAUAGACUACAUUUUAUUCAUGUGAGCUAGCGCUUUUAAAUUGUGUGUCUUAUUCAAGGGUCAGUAUGAAACGCUUCAUGUAAAAUUACAAAAGCACUUUUAGAAUCCUUGAGAUUGAUUGAACCAUAAAUAUAUGAGGAAAUUCAGUUCAUAAAACAUCAGUGGAUUGUUAAAUCUAUAAGGAUUCAAAUUCUAACCUUGUCUGUGCUAAAUAGGUCUGUCCAUGAUUAACUAAAUGCAAUUCUAGCUUGUUUUCCUGAGAAUUCAAGAUAUUUCAAUGGGAGAAAUAACUUAAAACAUAGAAAUAUAUAAUUAGUAAAGUAUAGCAUAAUAUUAUUAAUAUGCAUUAUCUAAUGUUUUAUUCUUUACAGCUCUAUAGAGUGUAUACUCUAUUUUGAAACUUACAAAAAUUACAAACUAUAUAGGCAUGUAUUCAGAGAUCCUAAACUAUUUUCCCCAAAAAAGUGGAAUUAGCAUUAGAGCCUUCUGACUGUUAACAUAGGAUUCUCUUUCAUAUAUCAAACUUCUAUUAAAACCUGGUAUGAUACAACAGUAACUUACAAAUAAUAUAACAAACAUGAUGCAAUAUAAUGUAAUUUAGUAAUGGUAUGUAAUAUCUCAAAGCAUUUGAAGAAUGGCAUUCCUGAGGCUGGGAAAGUAAAGCUUUUCACCGCAGAGAAGUAAGGAUGCUCUGGAUGUCCCAGAGCACAUUCUGGGAGCCCAGGGAGGUAACGAACCUCUCUGCUUCUGUGAAAGGAAGGGAGAAUAGCAGCUAGAUAGUUUGGGGCAGCUCAUGCUCAAUUUUUACAAUUGUUAAGAAGAAAAAAAAAAGAAUCACUUGAUUUUUAGGUAGAAAAAAAAUGAGUUUCUGUUACAGUUCACAGGUAGUUUAAAAAAAUACUUCUACAGUUUUUAAUCUGACAUUCCCAGGCCAUGAUAUACCCAACACUGUCCUAAGUAACUGAACCCAAAUAGCACUACAUUAGUUCUAAGUGAAUUGGCCUGUCAAGUCAUAAGCUGUCUGAAGCUAUAUUAAUAAGCAUAUUCCUAAUAUAUCUAGGAAACCAUAACAAAAUGACCACUAACAUUAUUUAAAAUGCUAGCUAUGUUUGCAUCAGCAGCACAAUCUCAGAAAGUGGCUUUUGUUGUUAUAAUUUUAUGUCUGUCAUUUCCUAAUUUUAAUAUUAAUACCUGUGAAUGUUAAAAAUGAGGGAGAAUUCUAGCAAUGCUAGCUUCAUAUUAAGAGAGGCUGAAUGAAACUCAUUCAACUGAACAAUCAAAUGUAUUUGUAAAAAUCCCCCAAGCCAUAGGUUUAUGAAUAAAAAAGAGGAUAUUAGUUCAAUAUAUCAAAACAUUUGACAUAUAUAGGCAUCCAAAUAAAUUGAAGAUAUAUUUUACAUGUUGCUACAUGUUAUAGAUGGGAUAAGAGAUAUGGGUUUAUAAUACUUUUCUCAAGAUGAUGAUAAAUGAGGGAAGAUUAUUCUUGGAAUCUGUCUAUUCCAGCCAAAUAAGAACAUGAUGUUCUUGAUUGAUAUAUUAAAUUUUCUACAAUGAAUAAUGAUUGAUGCCUACCAAUUAUAGUUCCACAGGAAGUAUGUUUGGUAGCCAAAAACAAUAUAACACAGUGCCAUAAAUAUAUUCCAUAUUCUCAUACAGUAAAAAUAAAAAUAGCAACAGUUUGAUGAGAAAUGUUAAAUAUCAUGAAAGCUAUGCAGUUUCAAUGCAGUAUACCAACUAGAAAAUAGAGCAUUUUGAGUUCAAAACCAAAAAAUACAAUUUUUUUUACAAACGUACAAUUUAGCAUGUAAAUUUCUUCAAAUAUCAACUUAAAACUUUUAAAAAAUAAUUUCAAGUGGAAGUAAUGGAGUGUUUGCAAACCAGAUUGCAAAUUUGUAAAAUGCCUUCCAAAGCCAAAUAUGGUGAAAGUUUUGUCAUCAUAACAUAUCUGUGGAGCAGUAAUUCCCAAGUUUAGUGUUACAGAAAAACACCUAGGAAGGUUAUUAAAUUUCGGGGUCUAUUAUCCAGAGUUAGUGAUUCACUCAGUCUGUAAUGAAGCGCAGCAACUGGAACCACUAGUUAUUCUAGUGCAAUGAGUCUACAGCUCCAACUUU